UGUGGCAGAAAUCAAGUCAGAAGAUCCUGGAAGUCAGUUGUGGGACACGAGAUGAAUGUGAUCCUUAGUUUGAGGGGGAGAAUGUGAGAUAACAAACUAAGUCCCACAUUGGAGAAUUAGACAAGGAGAGUCUAAUAUAUAAAGAGAUGUCCAACUCUAAUAGUACGAGGCCUUUUGGAAUGGAAACCAAAAGUAAAACCAUGCGGGCUUGCCUAAGGCCCAAAGUGGACAAUAUCGUACUAAUAAGAUAAGAUAGAGUUGGACACGGGAUU
rnacentral:lncRNA from 1 species